rnacentral:rRNA from 1 species
CAACCUCAGAUCAAGUAGGAUUACCCGCUGAACUUAAGCAUAU